CACUCCGGUGGCCUAGUGGUUACUGCAUCUGUUUCAGAUGCAGAAGGUCACAGGUUCAAGCCCCAGCUGAGUCA